rnacentral:rRNA from 1 species
AUCUACAGCCAUGCCACCCUGAACAUGCCUGAUCUUGUCUGAUCUUGGAAGCUAAGCAGGGUCAGGCCUGGUUAGUACUUGGAUGGGAGACCACCUAAGAAGACCUGGUGUUGUAGGCG